UACGAAGGGUGCAAGCGUUACUCGGAAUUACUGGGCGUAAAGCGUGCGUAGGUGGUGAGUUAAGUCUGUCGUGAAAGCCCCGGGCUCAACCUGGGAAUGGCGAUGGAUACUGGCUCGCUAGAGUGCGGUAGAGGAGAGUGGAAUUCCCGGUGUAGCAGUGAAAUGCGUAGAGAUCGGGAGGAACAUCAGUUGCGAAGGCGGCUCUCUGGACCAGCACUGACACUGAGGCACGAAAUCUUGGGGAGCAAACAGG
rnacentral:rRNA from 1 species